rnacentral:rRNA from 1 species
UACGAAGGGGGGCUAGUGUUAUCCAAAAUGACUGGGCGUAAAGAGUAUUUAGACGGCUUUAAAUGCCCCUUGUAAAAAUAUAAAUUUAUUGUUUAUAAUUGCAUUUGGUACAUAGUGCUUGAGUAAAGUAAAGGGCAGUAGAAUUUUAUUGUUAGGGUUGAAAUCCAAUGAGCAUUGAAGGAAUUCCUGUGGCUGAUGCGGCUGCCUAGGCUUAAACUGACGUUGUUAGACGAAGGCUUGGGGAUCAAACAGGUUUUGAUAUCCUGGUAGUCCGAGCUGUCAAAGAUGAGUGUUAACGUUGGGUGUACUGCCUGGCGUACAGCUAACGCGUUAAACGCUCCGCCUGAGGAGUACGACGCUAACAUUGUUGGAACUCAAAGG